GACGAACCGUGCGAACGUUAUUCGGAAUCACUGGGCGUAAAGCGCACGUAGGCGGAUUGUUAAGUCAGGGGUGAAAUCCUGGAGCUCAACUCCAGAACUGCCUUUGAUACUGGCGAUCUCGAGUCCGGGAGAGGUGAGUGGAACUGCGAGUGUAGAGGUGAAAUUCGUAGAUAUUCGCAAGAACACCAGUGGCGAAGGCGGCUCACUGGCCCGGUACUGACGCUGAGGUGCGAAAGCGUGGGGAGCAAACAGG
rnacentral:rRNA from 1 species